GAAUUACUCCAUAAAUUAUUCCAGGAAUUUCUCCACAAAUUACUUCACGUACUACUCCAGGAGUUCCUCCAGGAAUUUCUCCGGAAAUUCCUCAAGAAAUACCUCCAGAAAUUCCAUCAGGUAUUUUUCCACGAAGUCUUCUUGGAAAUACUCCAGGCAUAACUCCAAGAAUUUCUCCGUGAGUUACUCCAGAUAUUCCUACAGGAUUCUUACAGGUGUUUAUCCAGGAACUACUGCAAGAUGUCCUUCAAUUUUUUUCUAGGAAUUCCUCCAGUGAUUCCUUCAUGAAUUUCUCCAGUAAAUGCUUUAGAAAAUUCUUUAGAGAUUCCUUCAGAAUUCCUUCAUGAAUUUCCUCCAGGAAAUCGUCUAGAUAUUUCGCUUGUGAUUCCUUUAAUCAAUCUUCUAGGGAUUCCUCCAGGAAUUCCAACAGAAUAUCCACCAGAAAUUCCUCCAGGCAUUCCUCCAGAAAACACUCCAGUAAUUCAUCUAAGAAUUUCGCCAGUGAUUUCUUCAAUAAAUCUUCUAGGGAUCUCUCCAGCAAUUUCUACAGAAUAUCCACCAGAAAUUCAUCCAGGCAUUCCUCCAGAAAUUUUUCCAGGAAGUACUCCAUGAAUUCCUCCAGGAAUUCCACAAGGAAUAACUCCAGGAAUUCAUCCACGAACUUUUCCAGAAGUUCCUCCAGGAAUUCCUCCGAAAAUUCCUCCAAGAAUUCCAUCAGGAAUUCUUCCAUAAAGUCUUCCAGGAAAUACUCCAUUAAUUGCUCCAAGAAUUGCUUCAGGAAUAACUCUAGGAAAUCCUCCAGGAAUUGCUCCAGGAAUCACUUCAGGGAUUCCUACGGGAAUUUUUCCAGAAACUACUUCAGAAUGUCCUCAAAAAAAAUCCUCCAUGAAUUCUACAAGAAAAUACUUACGGGAUUCCUCCAAGAAUGACUUCAAGAAUUCCUCCCGGAAACAAUUCAAAAAAUUUACCAUAAUUUCUCUUUAAAUUACUCCAGGAAUUCGUCAAAAAAAAUCUCUCUGGAAUUUUUCCAGAAUUGCUCCCAGAAUUCCUUUUAGAAAUACCUCAAGGAAAUGCUUCAAGAAUUUCUUCAGAAAUUCUUUAAAGAGCUGCUCCAGAAGUGGCUCCACUCUUUUAGGAAUUCCUUCACGAAUUAUUUCAGGGAUUCCUCCAGAUAUUGCAUACGAAUAUCUCCAGGAAUUCGUCCUACAAUUCUUCCCGAUAUUUCUUAAGGUUUUAUUUUUGAAAUUCUUCAAGAAUUUUUCCAGACAUUCCUCUCAGAAACACUCUAAAAAUUUCUCCAUGAAUUACUUCAAGGCUUACUCCAAAAAUUAUUCCAGAAUCUACUCAAGGAAUUACUCCAGGAUUUUCUGUCUCUAGAAUUUCCUCCAAGAAUUCCUUCGACUAAUCUUCCAGUAAUCACUCCAGUAAUUCCUCUAGGAAUUCUCCCACGAAGUCCUUCGGAGUUUCUUUCAGGAAUUACUCCCUGGAAGAUUCCCGGGUGGCAUCCUUGGAGGAAUUCUUAAAAUAAUCCCUGGAGGAAUUUUUGAAGACAUACCUGGAGGGAGUCCUGGGAGAAUUCCUGGGGGAUUUCCUUGGAGAAAUUUCAUUAGGAAUCCCUAGAGGAAUAUUUGUGGUAAGCCUUGUAGCGGCCAUGGGCCCGCUCGGAGUCUGCUUCUUGUUUCCGGCCCGGAUUUUUAAACAAGUGGCUUAAGCGCCACCUCCUAGGAGGACCACCCGUCGUUUUCUACGAUGCCCGGCUAGAUACUGACCGAAGAGUCAGCUUCGGAAUAAUCAACAAUGCGCGGGAACAAGCGAGCAGACUCAUCAUACAAGGACUCUACUUCAAUAGCGGAAGCCACACAGACAUAACCAACAAAUUCCCCCAAACGACCGAUAUCCCAGAACUCGACCUUAUCCUGUUCUCAUCACGGGCAAAGACUCCCCAACCACUUCAAUCCCAUUCCGUUUUGGAAGAUGGAUGUUACAACAAGACGGACCAAAAAAAAUAAGGAACGAAACGUGAAAUGUACUUGAACUUUCUUAACGAUCACUAACUAACACAUGUUUUUUCUUAGGGAAACAAGGACUAUAUAUUCAACAUUUAUUCAAUUUGAUAACCUAGGAUAAUCAUGGCCUGAAUCAAUUUGAUAACCUAUGCAUUUCUACGGUCGCGUCCGACCGGCCUUCCUUCUUCUUCCCCUUUCCAAACUAUGGCCCUAUCUUGUGCGGUUGUGGUCUACGCUAGCGCUUUUGUGUGUGUAGGUGCUAAUUCACUUGCAUGCAAAAUUUAGUGGAACGUACUCACGAGCUUUCGAUCGGGUGCUUUCUACGACGACGCCGAUGACGUUGACGAUAGUGUCGACGAUUGGUAGAUCGGUACCUCUACGGUGAAUUCGAUUCACGGCCACGCACGAGCUUCGUGAAGUGUUUCUCGUGCUCGUGACCAAACGAGCGGACGAUUGGCGAAUGUCGCUUGCCUUCGGAGUGCGUUGGUGACGUUCGCGACUCCCUUCCGGCCUGGAAUCGCCGGGCAAACUUUGGCCCCAGGACGCAGGGUGGAUGCGCGACGUAAGGUGGUGGGCGAGACGCUCUCGUUCUUCGCUUUGUGCGAUGUACGUGCUAUUUUUGGAGUAGAGGUAUAGCCGUCGCUCGCGCUUGGCUAGAUGACACAAUUAGCACAUAAAAUACCACACAACACAAGUCGUUUACCUUUGAACUUGGUACUCGGGUUCAACACGCACAAUUCACCGCACAACCUAGCUAUUGAACUUUUGGCCUAAACGGGGAUACACAGAGACAAUUAAUACUCGUUGAAGUACUCUUCACGUUUAAGUUAACUCACAAAAUCACACCACGGGAAAGACACUACUUCGAUCUGGGACAAAGUGGACGAGAAUAUCUUUGUGAUUCCUCAGAUAGGAUCUCACGGUAUGGUUCCCGGAAAUGGAAGCCCGAAGGUCUCCGUUGAUCAGGUCUGUAUGAUUUCGGAUAAAGAAAUCUCCCUUGCCUUUGAAUUGUCUUUUCAUCUCAUUCCGUUACAAAGUCAACUAUUCAGAAGCUAACUACUUCGGGGUUCUCUAACAAGGUAACGAGAGCACGAACAGUGAUACUCAUUACAGCGUGUGCUUGCGUAGCGGAUAACCUAUCUACGCUUCAGGAAAUUGUAUGCAAUUGUUGGUAUCAUUUUGAUUCAGCUAAUGUCCAUGCUAUUUUGAUGCUAAAUCUUUUAUUUAUCAAAUUUUAUACAUUUAACGUGAAUUCUAAUUAUUGAACAAUGAAUUAAAUAAGAAUAUAACAAAUAAACAAAUAACGAAA